CGUUAAGUUCCCAGGUCCUUAGUGCGCGCGCCUCUCCCUACAGUACACCGCGCGCGCGCGCCGCCCCUUCCAUUGCCAUCAGGUGCCUUGUGCGCGAACCUUGCCGGCCAAACCGUUAACGUCUGGCGUACUUUGUGCACGCGCCUCUCCUUGCAGUACCUAUCAGGCGCCCCUUCUAUCCCACUCCCUCCCUCGCCGCCAUUGCUCGCAGGACGCUCAGAGUCCAGCUGUCAAGAGUUCAACAAUCCGAAAAUAGACACUGCGCCCAGCAGCGGUUACCUGGGCACUCUGUGCCCUUUAUCCCUGUCCCGGUCCCUUCCUGGGGCUGAGGACCCAGCAGUAGGACUCAGUUUCCUUGAGCCUGCUGCCCGCAUCCCUCACUUCAUUGGCUUGCGGGAUCUCUCCGUUGCUCCUGCCCCUUGACGGAGUGGCAAGCCUUCCUACCCAGACACUUGUAAUCAGCCUGGUGUUGAAACAACUCCAAGGAUUUACUCUUCAAACCCUGUCUUCUGUACGGCGAUCCUGCCUUCAAUUUGAGGCCCAGGUACCACAGCAAGCCAGUGCCCUAAGGACUCUCAGAGAGGCCCUGGAGAAGGCCUCCCGGAGCUGCCUUCCAAUAAGGACAAACACAGCAAGAAAAGAUCCAUUUCUGCACAAAAGUCCUUCUGGAAAGAAGAAAAAAAAAGCUGUGAAUGGAGUCAAAACAUUACCCAGUGCUGACUUAGCCUCUCAGUUCUUUCCUAAAUGGAGUGUGGUGUCCUAGUCAGGGAAUGGAAGAGGCCCCUCCCACACAGGGACAGGGCCAUGACCCCAGAGGAUGAAGCAGCAGCAUUUAUUGAAGAUACAACAGUGAGGGGAUCCCGUCACAUUCCUGUCUCCCCAGAGAGGGCAUAUCUCGAGAAGUGAUCCAGGAGACAUGUAAGUUCCUAAAACCAUUCUCUUCACUCUGUCCCCCAGGACCUGGCCCAGACUCUGAGAUACACUGGCUUGGGGUGCCUUCAGGUGGCUGUGUGAAAAACCACAGUUUAGGGCCAGUCUGGGGCUUCCAGACCUGGCCAGGAUGUCCCCAGGCCACCUGUCCUUCUGCUUUGUCUCACUGUACCUUGGCAGAUGGCCUGAUGCUUAGGGCUGGCCCAAGAACACCUCAGGAAGGUUUGGUUCCCAGUCUACAGAUGGUCCG
rnacentral:lncRNA from 13 species